rnacentral:rRNA from 1 species
UACGUAGGGGGCUAGCGUUGUCCGGAUUUAUUGGGCGUAAAGAGCGUGUAGGCGGCCAGGUAGGUCUGCUGUGAAAACUCGAGGCUCAACCUCGAGACGUCGGCGGAAACCAUCUGGCUAGAGUCCGGAAGAGGAGAGUGGAAUUCCUGGUGUAGCGGUGAAAUGCGCAGAUAUCAGGAAGAACACCCGUGGCGAAGGCGGCAUCCUGGACCAAUUCUGACGCUGAGGAGCGAAAGCCAGGGGAGCAAACGGG